rnacentral:misc_RNA from 1 species
UAGACCUGGGGUAGAAAAAAUAGUUUUAAAGUCUAUUUCUAGGUCAAGAGAAAUGGUAAAAGGUUCUUUUGAUAUAAUUACUUUCUGAUACUUAAAUUUAAAAUUUUUUACAAUUUUAAAGGCGACUUCAAUAUCAUUAAUAUCAUUGAGCUAGAGCCGGUGACUAGAAAGAGGUGUUAUUGAAAGAUAGAAAUAGCAAAGUAUACGACCCAUACAUGGGUAGUGAGUAGGAAUAUUAUCUGAGAAUCAAUUAGAAGAGGAAAUUUUGGCAUCCGUCGAAAAAGUUUUCUAAGGCAUUGAUUAGGAAGAAUGCCUUGUGAAUGAAGUGCUGUUGCGUGGCCGAAUAAAAAGAUUGUAUGUAUAAUUUUUUGUGUGGUAAGAAAAUUCCCUGCUCCACAAAGACAUUAGAUUCUUCUUGCUUUCGCUGCCAUCAAAACGACUGUGGAUCCCACUAUAAA